CCUACGGGAGGCAGCAGUGGGGAAUAUUGGUCAAUGGGCGCAAGCCUGAACCAGCCAUGCCGCGUGCAGGAUGAAGGCCCUCUGGGUUGUAAACUGCUUUUAUCUGGGAAGAAACACCCCGUUUCUACGGGGCUUGACGGUACCAGAGGGAUAAGCACCGGCUAACUCCGUGCCAGCAGCCGCGGUAAU
rnacentral:rRNA from 1 species